AGUGAAUCACAGAGGAAUAAAAAAUGGAUGCAUGUUGUUCCUGUGCUUGCUUGGGCUUCGUCCUGGUCCUGGUCCUGGUCCUGGUCUUGGGCUUCGUCCUGGUCCUGGUCCUGGUCCUGGUCUUGGUCUUGGUCUUGGUCUUGGUCUUGGUCUUGGUCUUGGGCUUCGUCCUGGUCCUGGUCCUGGUCCUGGUCCUGGUCCUGGUCCUGGUCUUGGACCUCCCUUGCCACCAACACAUGCACAUUCCAUUGCUCCUGCAGUCUGUGUCCUUGACCAGAGGUCUCAGUUCUGGAGUCGGUCCCUGAGUCUGAACGCUGCCAACUGCUCCCUCAGGACGGGUUCACCAGUUGCAACAUGUUGGACGUGGUUUCACACACACGGUUUAAACAAGGUCAUAAACUCCUGUGCUGACUGGUUCUUCUGCUUGUGUCUUGUGUGAUGAUAAUAAUAAAAACACCAUUUGGAGGUUAACGAGGUUAAAAACUGGAUUUUCUUGGAGGGGUCCAACAGUGUGGAGCACUGAUGUAAAGUCUCCUGUUGUCACGGUACAGAGUGUCACAGUCUGAACAUCCAGCAGACGCAGUGCUGACAGCGUCUCACCUGGCUGCUGCAACACAACCUCUUCAUUUACAUUAAAUGUGGUGAAGCCCCUGAAGUCAAAGAUGUCCUGAAACCCCAAAUUACAUCUAAUGGAGGUAAAGUCAAAGUUUGCUGAGGUGAGUUUUCCUGAUGUGAUGACAUCUGGGCCUUUUCACUGUGUGGAAACAUCAGCUGCAGCCUGCCAGGUGACCCGGUUACUCAUUAACAGAACAAGAGGACGUAAAUACUGAGCGGGUCCAAACAGGGAGGAGAGUCGGGACGAUAUAAAUUCUGUCUGAGCUGUGAAACAAAGCUGCAUUCGCUCCAGGUCGGUGUAUAGUUCAAGGUUUCAGAGGGAACUUCCUUUUUUUACGUCUCUACAUUUCUGCGACUGCUUCAGAAGUUUAACUGCAGACGUCACCACAACCACAACAUGAGUCUGUUUCCUGAUCUUUGCUGCUGUGCGGCACUCCAAACCACAACUACGACCUGUCGGGCUCGGACCUGAGGAGGCUCUACAACUCUCCGGUGUACAAGGCUGAGAGGAUGAAGAGGCCGCUGGAGGGAACUGGCUUUGUGUUGGGACCCAUCAGCCACUCUGGAGUCAGGUCAGUCUGCAGCAGCUGUGGUUCUGAUCCAGGUCCAGAUCCCUCACAGGUGGAAGAUGACAAUGGUCGGUGUGUCAGGGCGAGUACAUUAGCUUUGCUUUAGCAACACAAUAACACAACACAACACAACACAACACACAGACAUCAUCACUUCAAAACUGUUAUUUCUUCACUUUUUUAUGUUUUCAACUAUAAUCAUGACAUGAUGCACCUAUAAUAAAGGUGUGGUGUCUGACUGCAUUUACAGUUUCACACUGAGUCAUAUUUAAAACAUUACCUUUGUGUCUGUUAGAUGAUCUUUCACUGGUUAAGUUUGAGUUUGCAGUACUGCUUCCUGUACGUAACCAGUGUUACACUAAUGCUGUACGUCUCCUGUUGAUACUCUUGUCGCCCAUAAUCUUGUUUUCUACCUGUGUGACUACAUUAAAAGACCAAUAAGAA